rnacentral:rRNA from 1 species
GACGAACGCUGGCGGCGUGCUUAACACAUGCAAGUCGAACGGAAAGGCCCUGCUUUUGUGGUGUGCUCGAGUGGCGAACGGGUGAGUAACACGUGAGUAACCUGCCCUUGACUUUGGUAUAACUUCAGGAAACUGGGGCUAAUACCGGAUAGGAGCUCCUGCUGCAUGGUGGGGGUUGGAAAGUUUCGGCGGUUGGGGAUGGACUCGCGGCUUAUCAGCUUGUUGGUGGGGUAGUGGCUUACCAAGGCUUUGACGGGUAGCCGGCCUGAGAGGGUGACCGGCCACAUUGGGACGGAGAUACGGCCCAGACUCCUACGGGAGGCAGCAGUGGGGAAUAUUGCACAAUGGGCGGAAGCCUGAGGCAGCAACGCCGCGUGCGGGAUGACGGCCUUCGGGUUGUAAACCGCUUUCGCCUGUGACGAAGCGUGAGUGACGGUAAUGGGUAAAGAAGCACCGGCUAACUACGUG